UACGUAGGGGGCAAGCGUUGUCCGGAAUUAUUGGGCGUAAAGAGCGUGUAGGCGGUCCGGUAAGUCAGCUGUGAAAGUCAAGGGCUCAACCCUUGAAUGCCGGUUGAUACUGUCGGGCUAGAGUCCGGAAGAGGCGAGUGGAAUUCCCGGUGUAGCGGUGAAAUGCGCAGAUAUCGGGAGGAACACCAAUGGCGAAGGCAGCUCGCUGGGACGGUACUGACGGCUGAGACGCGAAAGCGUGGGGAGCAACAGGAUAGAAA
rnacentral:rRNA from 1 species